AUUGAACGCUGGCGGCAUGCCUUACACAUGCAAGUCGAACGGUAACAGGUCUUCGGAUGCUGACGAGUGGCGAACGGGUGAGUAAUACAUCGGAACGUGCCCGAUCGUGGGGGAUAACGCAGCGAAAGCUGUGCUAAUACCGCAUACGAUCUACGGAUGAAAGCGGGGGAUCGCAAGACCUCGCGCGGACGGAGCGGCCGAUGGCAGAUUAGGUAGUUGGUGGGAUAAAAGCUUACCAAGCCGACGAUCUGUAGCUGGUCUGAGAGGACGACCAGCCACACUGGGACUGAGACACGGCCCAGACUCCUACGGGAGGCAGCAGUGGGGAAUUUUGGACAAUGGGCGCAAGCCUGAUCCAGCCAUGCCGCGUGCAGGAUGAAGGCCUUCGGUGUAAACUGCUUUGUACGGUAACGAAAAAGACUACUCUCUAAUACAGGGGUGAAGUGACGGUACCGUAAGAAUAAGACACCGGCUAACUAACGUGCCAGCAGCCGCGGUAAU
rnacentral:rRNA from 1 species